rnacentral:lncRNA from 1 species
GGCUGUCAUGGGCUAACCAAAAUAAACAUAAAGGAACACUCAAUAUAAGACGACCCAAUCUGAUAUAAAAACUUAUACACUUAUACAUUUGACAUACGGGCCUAUAAGGCCAAAGUUACACUGAACAUAGGCCGACAAGGCCGUAAAAUCUUUCACGUACACGACAUAUGUCUACAAGUCUCUAAGAGUACAUACUUAUUAUAAAGGUCGGGGCAGGGCUCCACCAUACCAAAUAAUACACGUCAAAAUCAUACUGACUAAAUAAACAACUCCGGAGCAAAUGGAGCGUACCAACACCUUCCGUUAAGCCGAUAGCCUACUUGGAGGACUCUCGACCUGUCUAUCGGGACCUGCAGGCAUGAAACGCAGCGUCCCCCGAAAAAAGAACGUCAGUAUAAAUAAUAUACCGAGUAUGUAAGGAAUAAAAAUCAGUAAACAAUAGACAUGAGAGAAACAUGGAGUAAAAGACUCAACAUGUAAGUCUGAAUAGCUCUAUGAAUCAUUUCAUAUUUAUAAUGCCAUGCAUAUGCGUAUAAAUGCCAUACUAUGCAUAGGUAUAUGCGUUCAUAACAUCAUCAAGCCUCUGAGGGUAUCCCAUCAUAUCAUCUCGGCUACUAUGGGGCAAAUUAUCAACGUAUACCAGUUGAUCAGGUGGUGGUGUGUAUAUAACACCAUAACCUUUUCCCAUGUCCCGUAUACAUAUAACAUACGCGUAUAUAACGCCAUCUGGUCAUGGGUCAAUGUAUAUGUAUAAAUGCAUGAAAUGCAUAAGAAAUACGUUAAUAAGAUUUCUCGGAAUAUCACAAAAUCAAUAUGUAUUUUGGAUAAACUUUGUCAAAUACGUAUUUUUCUGAGACCCAUGAACAAAAAAAAAAUAAUUCACAUGUGGAAUCAAGAAUAUAGACACCCCUAAUACUUCUAUGAAUAGAGUCAUUUAUGAAAAUUGUGCGUUUACUCGUUUUAUUUGUAUCGUAUGAAUCAUUCCAAAAAGAAAGAAGGGAUAACCUUAACAUGCCUGGACCGAUUCUCUUGAUGAUCCCUCUAACACAUGUCUUUUGCGAAAACACGUAACGAUAAAUUGAAGUAGGAAAAAAUCCGUAUGAUGUUCUUGAGAAAAAUUAUACCGUACUCUCUUAGAAUUAUAAAUCCCGUUGCUAUUACAUUACGUAGUCUCGUAUGAAUUUUGUUGAAGCAAUUUACCAUAACAGAUCCGUAUGAUAUCUUUCUUAAAUAAAUUUGAACAAAAUCUUUCAUGACCUUUCUUGAAGUGAAUUGCGUUGCCAAGAUGCUUAAGGAAUUUUUGCUUGAAUUUUCGAAUUCUUGCUUGAAUUCUUGUUGAAGCAGAAUGUCACGUUACUAAGUUGCCUACCAUUUUUAAUAUAAGCACUCACGCUGCUCUUUCCAUAUUUUGUGAAUUUGAGAGCCUUUUAUGGCUUAGCCAAGAGUUCCUUUCAAGGUGCUACCUAGCCAAAUAAAAUACUUAGUCACCUUAGGCUUGAUGAAAGCUUUACACAUGCUGCCACGUUUGGAGCAUUUAACCUUAUUCAAAUUAUGCUCAAUUAAUUAGGUAAUAUCCCAUUACCCAAUAAUUAACUAAUUACCCAUAUAAUCAAGAAUUAUCUUAAAUUACUUAAAAUACUACUCACUUUAAAUAUACUUUAUAUACCUUACUAUCAUGGUCAUGUGGUACCUUGUAUAGCACAAAUCCAUAAAUACCAGGUAUUAUAGCUUAGACCGUAUUUUAUCUCCAAAUGUCAAAUUUUGACGAAAUUCAUUUUCUUCGAUUUGCUUACCCCCUAACCUUCACGAAUUUACUUAUUACUUGUUUGAAAUAGCGUAAUACUUAUAAUCUCAAAAUAAAUUUUAUCCCCGAACUUACGUCGAUUAACUUACGACGAAACUUUAACAUAUAAAAAUGCGGGAUGUAAUAUCUCAUUUCCGAGCUUAUAUCAAUUUACUUAUGGCGUACUUUUACGUACGAAAACAUGGGGUGUAACAUUAUAUAUAAAGAAAAGUUAAUUUAGAGAGGUGAGGUUUACCUCAUACAUAGCCUAUUGCAUCUCCAAACAUGUAGCUUCAAAUUUCUGCUAUACAUAGGCUCAUUUUAGUCCUUUUGUCUGCUUGCAAAGUUCAAUGGGAGAAUACGUGUAUUUCAUCAAACAAUUGGCCUGCACUAUGCACAUAAGAAAUUAGAGUAAAAAUAAUCUCACAAGUCACAUAUCAACAAUGAUUAUAUUUGUCUAUACACAAGAAUAAGAAUAAAACAACAGAAAGAAUAUAAAAUUAUAAUGGUAAGAAUCAAAAGAGGGAUUUAUUAUACUUUGUAGAGUUGUAAAAUAAUGAAGUAAAGAGCACUAAGACUUGAGACAUAAGAGUGAGGAAAUUUAUACAACGAUCAUCAACAAAGUUAGGGGUCGCUAAAAUUACUCAAAGCUUAAAAUUCUCUGUGCAACAACCCUAACAAUUUAAGCAAUGACUAGGUACUGGUAAACUAUUGUUGACAUCACAAUGGUAAAAUAUUAAGUGGAUCUGUAGCAUAUCAAUGAAAAAUACAAGGUAACAAAACCUGAACGAGUUAUGCUCAAUCAAUUCUUGGAAAAGAAACCCAAUGAAUGUUUUUCCACCUUUAAUUUCCCACCAGCAAAAUUAGGGUUUGACUGACAAAGUCUAUGGGCAGCGACACACACACACACACACAGAGAGAGAGAGAGAGAGAGAGAGAGAGAGAGAGAGAGAGAGAGAGAGAGAGAGAGAGAGAGAAGCGAGAGAUGAGUUAUAAUACCUGGGUUCUGGGGAUGGUGGCCUGCGAUAGGGAGACAGAGCGACAUCGGUUCGACAGUAGCGACGAGAGCAGAGAAAUAUGAAAAAUGAGGUUGGGCAGCAACUAUUAUUUUGUGAAUUUUUACAGAGCAAAAAAAUGAGGGAAAUAUAAAAAAGAAAAAGGAAUGGAGGGAAUUGGUCAUAAUUGGAU